rnacentral:rRNA from 1 species
CGGAGGUGCAAGCGUUAAUCGGAAUUACUGGGCGUAAAGCGCACGCAGGCGGUUUGUUAAGUCAGAUGUGAAAUCCCCGGGCUCAACCUGGGAACUGCAUCUGAUACUGGCAAGCUUGAGUCUCGUAGAGGGGGGUAGAAUUCCAGGUGUAGGCGUGAAAUAGCGUAGAGAUCUGGAGGAAUACCGGUGGCGAAGGCGGCCCCCUGGACGAAGACUGACGCUCAGGUGCGAAAAGCGUGGGGAGCAAACAGGAUU